rnacentral:tRNA from 1 species
UUGUGGUUAAGUGGUAAAAACACAUAAUUCGUAUUUGAUUGUCACCGGUUCAAAUCCCCUCA